UACAGAGGUCCCGAGCGUUGUUCGGAAUUACUGGGCGUAAAGCGCACGUAGGCGGAUUUGUAAGUCAGGGGUGAAAUCCCGGGGCUCAACCUCGGAACUGCCUUUGAUACUGCAAAUCUCGAGUCCGGAAGAGGUGAGUGGAAUUCCUAGUGUAGAGGUGAAAUUCGUAGAUAUUAGGAAGAACACCAGUGGCGAAGGCGGCUCACUGGUCCGGUACUGACGCUGAGGUGCGAAAGCGUGGGGAGCAAACAGG
rnacentral:rRNA from 1 species